AGAACCCCGCGAGGCGAGGUGAGGGGCACCACCGAGGAAGCACCCACCGGGCUCCCGGGGCUGCCAGGCCCCGCAUUGAGGAAGUUGAAUGCCAGAUCACACUCUCUGGGCCCAGGCAGAUAGAUUCCAUUCAUCCUUUCUAAUGUCUACACCAUAUUUUGGAUAACAUGCCAUCAUCUCACAUUGUGUUGAAAGAAGAAAUCAGAAUGUUGGGGGCUGCUCAAAUAAUUAUUGGUCUGAUCCACUGUGCUCUGGGAAAAAUCUGGAUAUAUUUAUGUCUUGAUCAAUCUGCUUCAUUUUCAGCAAGCUACUUGCCUAUAGCCUUGAUAUCAGGAUUUCCACUUUUGUCAUUCUUAAUUUAUGUUAUAUCAGGAAGUUUUGCAAUAGCAGCGGAGAGGAAACCUUCCCCAAGGUUGUUGAUGUAUGCCCUAUGGAUGAAUUUUAGCAGUUUGGGUCUUUCAGCAAUUGGUUUACUUCUAACUGCAUGUGAAAUUACACUCUUUUUACUGCAAGAUGAAAUUAUUCAGUGGCCACACAAAAGUGGAAUCAUGCUUUCAAUGUAUUUGUGGAUAUUCUCCACCUUGGAGUUGGUCUUUGCAAAUACAGUGACCGGAUGGAUAAAAAAAGCAAAUAAUCAUGGCAACAAUACCAUGUAAUGUACCCAGUAACAGAGAGAGCAAAGCAAAUCUUAUCCUCAAAGAACUGCAGCUGCUUGUUAGAUCUGCCUGGUGGUUCCAUAGAGAAACUGCUCAGAGAACCUGCCUUUACCUCGCCUAAAACAGAACUAUCCCAGAGCUCAGAAAAGGAGUCCAUUCGUCCUCUAUAACUUCUAUACUAUAUCUUUGUUAAAAUGCCAAGAAGAUUUAUCCUAAAAGAAGGCACCAAAGCAAUGGGGGCACUUCGCCCUCAGAAAUCUCACUGUCGGAAUCCUUGGAAAUCACACCACACACAACUUCUAUUUCUUCAUAAUUUGCAAAGAACCAGUGUGACUCCAGUCAAGAACAAAAGAUUAACUGUGCAUUAGCAAAGAACUCUAAUUUUUUCAAGAGGCCACAUGGAAAACGCAUUCUAAUGAAGUCCUUUCCGUUGCUCUUUUUUCUCAGUUCUUCAAUAAAGCAUGCGAUUUGAUCACAAA